rnacentral:rRNA from 1 species
UACGGAGGAUGCAAGCGUUAUCCGGAAUGAUUGGGCGUAAAGCGUCCGCAGGUGGCAAUGUAAGUCUGCUGUUAAAGAGUCUAGCUCAACUAGAUAAAAGCAGUGGAAACUACAUGGCUAGAGUGCGUUCGGGGCAGAGGGAAUUCCUGGUGUAGCGGUGAAAUGCGUAGAGAUCAGGAAGAACACCGGUGGCGAAAGCGCUCUGCUAGGCCGCAACUGACACUGAGGGACGAAAGCUAGGGGAGCGAAUGGG